rnacentral:rRNA from 1 species
AUUGAACGCUGGCGGCAUGCUUUACACAUGCAAGUCGAACGGUAACAGGCCUUCGGGCGCUGACGAGUGGCGAACGGGUGAGUAAUGCAUCGGAACGUGCCCAGUCGUGGGGGAUAACGCAGCGAAAGCUGUGCUAAUACCGCAUACGAUCUGCGGAUGAAAGCGGGGGACCUUCGGGCCUCGCGCGAUUGGAGCGGCCGAUGUCAGAUUAGGUAGUUGGUGGGGUAAAGGCUCACCAAGCCAACGACCUGUAGCUGGUCUGAGAGGACGACCAGCCACACUGGGACUGAGACACGGCCCAGACUCCUACGGGAGGCAGCAGUGGGGAAUUUUGGACAAUGGGCGCAAGCCUGAUCCAGCAAUGCCGCGUGCAGGAAGAAGGCCUUCGGGUUGUAAACUGCUUUUGUACGGAGCGAAAAGGCUCCCUCUAAUACAGGGGGCUCAUGACGGUACCGUAAGAAUAAGCACCGGCUAACUUCGUGCCAGCCGCCGCGGUAAAAC